GUCUACACUACAUUUACUUAGAUCUACUAACCAUGGUGUCUUCACAGCGGUAAGUCGACAGCUGACGCUCUCCUGUCAACUCCGCCUGUGUCUCUCGCCCCAGUGGAGUACCAGAGUCAA